AUCUCCUGGAGCACUUGCAGCAGCCUCUGGGUCAGCUCUUCCCGCCUUACCUUGCACAGAGGGUAAAAAGAAAAUGCAAGACCACCAUGCUGCAUCGGGAUCUCUGAAAGAACGUGAGGAAGACGGUUUCCAAAGGCAGGUGAAGAAAGUACGCGCCCUUGAUGAAAUCAGUGGACAGAGAACUAUGGACACUGAAGGGAAGGUGGACAUGAACGGAUGUGAGCUGGUGGGAAAGAAGCAGCUGUUGGCAGCAAAGGAGGAGGCAAAAUUGGCUGAAGAGAAGACAAGAUGAUACAAGUGAGUUCA